ACCCUAAGGCCAGCAGGAGACUACAGAGGAUGUCUGUGAGGGGACAUGAACAUUCACAGCUUCUGAGUUUCUGUUCUACUGAUUCAACCCUCUGGAAAUGGUCAAUCUCCCGCUCUCUCAGUCUAUAAUUACAGAGCUAUUUAUCUCCUUUUUGAUUGGUUUAACUUUACCCGCCCAUGAAAAAGUGCAUGGAGGUCUUGGUAAAUCCUGUCCAGAGGCAGGAGGGGUUCUGUUCAGGCACGGUUCAAUGUGCCUCCUUGUUGACAUGAUCAAAUAUCCAAACAUCACAGGUACAUGGUUUCACGGGUCCCCACUAUCAGGCUGAGUCUAGUUAUCACUAGUUAUCACUAUCAACACACCACAGACGAGCUCCCAGGCUUCCCCACGCAGCACCCAGAGAAAGCCCAGCAUGUGAGGGUACACAGACUGCUUAUAUGGGUGUAAAUAUGUCUUUAAAGACAGGAUGUCACAAAGAGCCCCCACCCCAAACAUUAUAGUACAAAUCUAGAACAGGCAUGUAGAUAUUUACAAGGAUGCUGAAGUAUAACGUUCUGCUAGGAUGUUAACUGUAAGUAACAAAGAUUACAACUGUUAGUAAAGCCUCCAUACUGGAUGUAGAAACCUCUUGUUUAGCUUUCAGCAGUUAUGAGCAAGUUGUCCUUUAAGAUGGAAGCCAGAGUGUGCAAGGAGUAGGAGAAGCCUGUAAGCUAGAGCGACAGCAUCCACACUGUGUUCAGGGGGAGCUACACUGUGUUCAGGGGGAGCUACACUGUGUUCAGGUGGAGAUACACUGUGUUCAGGGGGAGCUACACUGUGUUCAGGGGGAGAUACACUGUGUUCAGGGGGAGAUACACUGUGUUCAGGUGGAGCUACACUGUGUUCAGGGGGAGAUACACUGUGUUCAGGGGGAGCUACACUGUGUUCAGGUGGAGAUACACUGUGUUCAGGUGGAGAUACACUGUGUUCAGGUGGAGAUACACUGUGUUCAGGGGGAGCUACACUGUGUUCAGGGGGAGCUACACUGUGUUCAGGUGGAGAUACACUGUGUUCAGGUGGAGAUACACUGUGUUCAGGUGGAGCUAUAGUAUCCACACUGUGGCACCUUGCAUACGAGUCCUAGAAUAAUGACUGAACAAGCUUACUAUGAAUGGUCUCCAGAUGAUGAGAAAAGCUCCAGACAUUUAGCAUGAGGCUUGAUGAGCAUGUCCUGGAGGCCGUGACUGAGCAGGCAGGGUUAGUGCCCCAGCACCCCCUACAGGCGUGGAGGCAUGGCAGACAUCUGCUUGGGGAGGGGAACAUCUUCAACAGCCAAUCAGGACCAAGCUCCCGGAGAAGUACAACAUCAAAAACCUGGCGACCCAGCAGAACCGUUGCUAUGGACACCAGGCCCCAAGCCACAUCCAGCAGCAUGCUAAUUGGACGGGCAUCGUCCGGGCGGGAGGAGGAGCUGCGAGCAUCGGCGUUGGAGGAGCCUGCAGCAUCCAGCUGGUCCUGAUGAUCACAACAACCAACAGUCAGCGGACAAGUCACACAACCGCACUCAGGGUGAUGUGAACCAGUUUCUGGGCCUGGAGGUACAACCGGGACACAAGAGAAGACAAGAUGACCGUGACUGUGGAGGUCCUGCUAGCUCCAUACAUGCCUCUAACCACUAAAAGCCAUGUGGCCACUUUCAAGAACAUGAAGCAUGACUUUGAAACACUGCAUGAACACUGGAUCCUCUGGUCUCUGUGCUGCCAGUGUGGUAGAGUGUUGGUGACUGAGAUAGAGGCAGGGCUCCACUUCCUCCCUCCAGCUCUGAGGCUGCCCCUAACCCUAACUCUGCACAUGUGUAGAUGAGUCUGAAGGCCUCACAGUAGGUAACAACACCUCCACCUGGACAGCUGAGACCAAACAUCCUCUCAUCCUCUGGAAACUUGCUUUCUUAUUGAUCUUCUGUAGAGGUGCCUUAUGGUGAGUGUGUGUGUGUGUGUGUGUGCAAGAGUGUAUGGUAGUUCAAUAAAUGAAAGUGCUGUAUUCAGGCUAUACCUCUAACCUUUCCUACUUCUACACACACACACACACACGCACAUACAGACACUGACACCCACACACACACACGCACACAGAUGGGAGAUGGGAUAUGUGAAUGAUAAAUAGACUCCAUGGUAGUUUAGGAACAUAACAAACCCAACACACAGUGUUGGAAUAAUGCUCUGAAAGGGAUUGUGGGAAACAAUGAUUAAUGACCAUCCAGGAGGUCCACUAUGGUUCCCAGUGAUAAAUCAUAUUAUCACUAUUAAAAGCCAAUAUGAUAAAUAGCUGUGUUUAAAACUAGGUGAUAUAAUCUUGUUGAAAAUACGUUUUAAACAGAUUUGUUUAUACAGUACAGAAUUUCUUGAGGUUUAUAUGCUUAGGUGAAGACAAUAAGUUCAUGGAGUUCUGAAACAUUUCAACUUCUUAACCCUGUGCUAUUGUAACCUUGUUUUUGUGCCUAUUUUUUGCCUAUUCUUUGUGUGUGUGUUUGCAUAGUCCUUCACACACACACACACACACUACUUCAUACUGUCACUUCCUGUCCUCACACAGACACUUCCUGUCCUCACACAGACACUUCCUGUCCUCAAACAGACACUUACUGUCCUGACACAGACACUUCCUGUCCUCACACGACCUUCCCUGCUGGGUGGGUCUGUCUCUGAGGAGUAGCUGGGCUACGACGGGGUCUGUGUGUGUGUGUGUGUGCGCACCUGUGUGUUACUGUGUGUGCGGAUGUGUGUGUGUGACUGUGUGUGUGUGUAUGAGAGAGAGAGAUGGUCUAUUUGCCCCAGAGGGGUGUUUCUGAUGUGUGUGUGUGUGUGUGU